GGUCCGAGAGAUCAGAUCCUUCAGUUCGGCUGGCUGGAACACAGGUGCUGCAUGGCUGUCGUCAGCUCGUGUCGUGAGAUGUUGGGUUAAGUCCCGCAACGAGCGCAACCCUCAUCUUUAGUUGCCCCCGGGUCAGGCCGGGCACUCUAAAGAAACCGCCGGUGACAAGCCGGAGGAAGGCGGGGAUGACGUCAAGUCCUCAUGGCCCUUACAGGUUGGGCUACACACGUACUACAAUGGUGGUGACAGAGGGCAGCGAACCCGCGAGGGGGAGCCAAUCCUCAAAAGCCAUCUCAGUUCGGAUUGCACUCUGCAACUCGGGUGCAUGAAGNUGGAAUCGCUAGUAAUCGCAGAUCAGCACGCUGCGGUGAAUACGUUCCCGGGCCUUGUACACACCGCCCGUCACGCCAUGGAAGUUGGUUUUACCUGAAGCCGGUGAGCUAACCGUAAGGAAGCAGCCGACCACSGUAAGGUUAAUGACUGGGGCGAAGUCCUAACAYGGUAGCCCGUMGGCGAACCU
rnacentral:rRNA from 1 species